rnacentral:rRNA from 1 species
AGUCGAGCGGUAACAGGAAUUAGCUUGCUAAUUUGCUGACGAGCGGCGGACGGGUGAGUAACGCGUAGGAAUCUGCCUGGUAGUGGGGGACAACAUGUGGAAACGCAUGCUAAUACCGCAUACGCCCUACGGGGGAAAGGAGGGGAUCUUCGGACCUUUCGCUAUCAGAUGAGCCUGCGUGAGAUUAGCUAGUUGGUGGGGUAAAGGCUCACCAAGGCGACGAUCUCUAGCUGGUCUGAGAGGAUGAUCAGCCACACUGGGACUGAGACACGGCCCAGACUCCUACGGGAGGCAGCAGUGGGGAAUAUUGGACAAUGGGCGCAAGCCUGAUCCAGCCAUGCCGCGUGUGUGAAGAAGGCCUUCGGGUUGUAGAGCACUUUCAGUAGUGAGGAAAGGGGUGUAGUUAAUACCUGCAUCCUGUGACGUUAGCUACAGAAGAAGCACCGGCUAAUUCCGUGCCAGCAGCCGCGGUAAUACGGAAGGUGCGAGCGUUAAUCGGAAUUACUGGGCGUAAAGCGCGCGUAGGUGGUUCAGUCAGUCAGAUGUGAAAGCCCCGGGCUCAACCUGGGAACUGCACCUGAUACUGCUGGACUUGAGUACGGUAGAGGGUAGUGGAAUUUCCUGUGUAGCGGUGAAAUGCGUAGAUAUAGGAAGGAACACCAGU